rnacentral:rRNA from 1 species
CGUGAGAAUUUACCUUUAGGAGGGGAGUAACAAUACGGAACGAAUAGCUAAUAACCCACUAUGCUUUCGUAGUGAAAUAGGAGUUUAUUAUUUAUUCCGCCUAGAGAGAAGCUCGCGGCUGAUUAGCUUGUUGGUAAGGUAAGAGCUUACCAAGGCGACGAUCAGUAUCUGGUUUGUAGAGGACGAUCAGACACACUGGAACUGAGACACGGUCCAGACUCCUACGGGAGGGCAGCAGUGGGGAAGUUUUCCGUCAAUGGGCGGAAAGACCUGACGGAGCAAUACCGCGUGAGGGAAGAC